UAUGGCCACAUCACACAUUGAAACACCAGCUCCUAUAUGAUCACUGAAGUUAAGCAAUGUCAAGCCUGGCCAUUACUUAGAAGGGUGACCUACUUGGGAAUACCUGGUACUGCAAG